UGUUUUCCUUUGCACAGGAAGGGCAGAGAAGUGGGCUUUCUUUCUAAGUCAUCUUUUCAAAAAGCACCAGGGAGACCACUACAAAACAGCAACAACUUUCUGUUUAUGCACUUUACAGUAACAAGGCUUUUCCAUGUAAAGGGUCUAAAAUACUUUGUUAGGAAUACAGCUCCAGAACAGGAAAAAUGUUAACGGAUUUGCUCAAGAAACCAGGCUGGGCUGCACCUGUGCUCUGUUAGUUGCCCCCAGAUGCUGCCCAUGAUUGUUCCUGGCCCCAGGAAGCAGCUGGGUCCCUAUAAGAAGCUUCCCAGGAGCCUUGGGGAAGUUUCUGCUUGUGCUGCAGCCUGGUGCAGGGAGGGGAGAGGUGCUGCAGGGGUCUCUGCUGCUUUCAGGAUUACAGCUUCAGAGAGCAGCAGGAUGUGAUGGAAUAGCAGGAACCGAAAUGCCACCUCAAUAUUCAAGCCACUCAUUCCUGCAUGAAGCAGCACGCUCCCUUUGGAGCUGUUCCUGGCAGGGAGAUCGCGCUGUGGAAGUGUUUGUUCUGGGAAAGCAGCGGCACAAAUGUGGAAAAGAUUAAAGCGGAGGCUUUUACGUCAAAAUCAUCUGAAGAGAGACAUGAAGUGACCCAGUUCCUGCCCCUGGAGGAGACAGAAGAAGGGAUGGGGAAAGGAGACCAGGCCUCCUAGCUCUGCCUCAAGCCUACCAACACAAGGCUUUCCAGCCCCAGACGCAGACAACAAUGGGUAAAAGCUCCCUGGGAAGCGCUUGAAAAUCUCCUUCU
rnacentral:lncRNA from 1 species